UACGUAGGGGGCAAGCGUUGUUCGGAAUUACUGGGCGUAAAGGGCGCGUAGGCGGCCUUCUAAGUCGAACGUGAAAUCCCCGGGCUCAACCCGGGAACUGCGUCCGAUACUGGAAGGCUUGAAUCCGGGAGAGGGAUGCGGAAUUCCAGGUGUAGCGGUGAAAUGCGUAGAUAUCUGGAGGAACACCGGUGGCGAAGGCGGCAUCCUGGACCGGCAUUGACGCUGAGGCGCGAAAGCCAGGGGAGCAAAGCGGG
rnacentral:rRNA from 1 species